UCGUAGUGAUGAUCACUUCAGUUCUGCUUCCGAAAGAGUACAACUCUUGUGGACACGUAACAUACCAAAAAAUCAUUUCUGACUU
rnacentral:snoRNA from 1 species